CCUACGGGAGGCAGCAGUGAGGAAUAUUGGUCAAUGGACGAGAGUCUGAACCAGCCAAGUAGCGUGAAGGAUGACUGCCCUAUGGGUUGUAAACUUCUUUUAUAUGGGAAUAAAAUGUUCCACGUGUGGGAUUUUGUAUGUACCAUAUGAAUAAGGAUCGGCUAACUACGUGCCAGCAGCCGCGGUAAUACGGAGGAUCCGAGCGUUAUCCGGAUUUAUUGGGUUUAAAGGGAGCGUAGGUGGAUUGUUAAGGCAGUUGUGAAAGUUUGCGGCUCAACCGUAAAAUUGCAGUUGAAACUGGCAGUCUUGAGUACAGUAGAGGUGGGCGGAAUUCGUGGUGUAGCGGUGAAAUGCUUAGAUAUCACGAAGAACUCCGAUUGCGAAGGCAGUUCACUGGACUGCAACUGACACUGAGGCUCGAAAGUGUGGGUAUCAAACAGGAUUAGAUACCCUUGUAGUC
rnacentral:rRNA from 1 species